rnacentral:lncRNA from 1 species
UGCCGCGGUCUUUCUGCUCCAGGGUGCUGCUGGCUGGGGUACCCUGCGCCAUGAGCAGACCGCCCACCCUCGGCGUCUCAGACGCGCCCACCCACCUGCCUGAGCUCAGAAAGCACCGGCUGUGCAGCCAGCGAGCCACGGGCAUCCACUGGGCACGCACAUCUCACCUCUCGGCUUAGGAAAACCCACGCCUCACGCCAAGGAAAAUGAAGCAGAAUGUUGCAUGGGGUUAAUGAGACCCUGGGCCUGGGCAUCUCCAGGCUGCUGCCCCCUGGGGAGGCACUUCCAUUCAGCAGGCGCCCCGCCAAAGCCCCUGCCCGAUGAGGAAUUUUCCCCGCUUUGAAGCUGGUGGGCCUGUGCCAGUUUGGAACACGGGGAUCCAGCUCCUUGCGGGAGAAUAAAAGCAACUCGCAGACAGUAAAUGCUGGCAGAGAUUCGGUUCUCUUUAUUUUUGUCAACAAGGAGAUUUGUUUUAAUGGGAACCAGCACAAUUGAGGUUGCAGAUUUUCCACUCCUGCAGGUCUCAACAGCCGCAGCCCCGCUUCCACCACAGCCGCCGUCAGCUCUGGAUUCGCUUGAGUUCUGGAAAAUUCAUCAGUGUGGCCCAGAGGAGGCUCUGAAUGCGCUUCUGUUGGGCCGUGCGGCCGCCGUGGCCCUUCUGCCACCUGUAGAGUCUCUUCCCGCAGCUCUGCUCACCCUCCCAGGCCACCACGGCCAAGGAACUUUCCAGUUAACUCAGGUCCGAGGCGGUCUGCAGCCCUAAGACAGCCCUUCACAUGACCGCGAGCAG